UCAAUAAACUCUUUAGAACUU
ensembl:piRNA 21ur-15134 ncRNA